rnacentral:rRNA from 1 species
UUUUUUUUGCCCCCACCCUCGGCCGGAACCCCCCGUUGAUUUUAACCUUAUACCUAACCGGAGAGGAAACCCACCCCCACCCGG